CACCGGUUUACUCGCCUCCACCACCUGUUUACUUGCCACCACCUCCGGUUUACUCACCUCCUCCACCGAUUUAUUCCCCACCUCCACCGAUUUACUCGCCUCCACCACCGGUGUAUUCGCCUCCACCACCGGUGUAUUCACCUCCUCCACCUAUUUAUUCGCCGCCGCCGCCACCACCGGUGUAUUCACCACCGCCACCACCACCUGUUUAUUCACCUCCUCCACCAGUUUUCUCUCCACCGCCACCAUCACCUCCUCCACCAGUUAUGUCACCACCACCGCCGACUCCAUUACCAACGCCACCUUAUUGUGUACGCUCACCGCCACCUCCACCAAAUUCUCCACCUCCUCCGCCUCCACUUACUUACUCCCCUCCAUCCCCUCCCCCUUCCCCCUACUAUUACAAUUCACCACCACCUCCCCCGCCAAACUCACCGUCACCUCCACCACCACCACCGGUUUACAUAUACUCAUCACCACCGCCCCCAUACUCUUCAACCCCGCCUCCUCAUUCACCUCCUCCAUCCCCGGUUCCUUGUAUAGAACCCCCACCCCCACCUCCUCCUUGUAUAGAACCACCUCCAUCACCUCCCCCACCAGUUUAUUACUAUAAUUCUCCGCCUCCACCACCGCCUUCACCAUCACCUCCCCCACCGGUGUAUUAUAGUUCUCCGCCCCCACCAUCACCAUCACCUCCGCCACCGGCACUGCCCCCACCAUCACCUCCACCACCAGUUUAUUAUUAUAAUUCACCACCCCCGCCGUCUCCUUCACCCCCUCCUCCCGUCUACUAUCAUUCCCCACCCC
rnacentral:lncRNA from 1 species